rnacentral:tRNA from 1 species
GGCAGGGUGGCCGAGUGGUCAAAGGCACUGGUUUUAGACACCAGUCUCUUUAGCCA